GGGCCCCCGGAAUGGUUUUCACCUGCAAGAUCGUCCAUGAAGCCUCCAAAACACAUCUCCUGCACAAUAUUAGCAAGUUAGACAUCAUCAAAGAGCAGGACUACUUCGACGAGACCGCACAUAUCUUCAUCCCCGAGGACGACGUGCAGCAAAUUUGGACCACCGCCUAUAUAUUCAUCAUCCUCUUCCUCAUCUCCUUCAUCUACAGCAGCAUUGUCACCAUGGUGAAGGUGAGAAAUUAAAUUAUUCCCCUGAAUCCCAGCCACCCAACGGGACUGGCAGCACAAUAGAAGCCCCCUGGCACAAACACAACACUUUUCAAAGUCUGUGGGAUCUAGAGUCAAUGCACCAGUUUCCAAAGCAAGUGGGAUCUGCACCGAUGUGAUGAUACGGGUCUUCCGAAUAACUCUUUAACAACUCUAUCCUCUUCUUUCUGCAGCCUUAACCUGAACCAUUUCCCUCACCUGUAGUGGCAAGUCAGAAAUUGAGUUCACAUAAAUUAGCCGAAAUGCUCCGAGGAGCAAUUUAAUUCAUGACUCAGUAUACUGUAGUUUGAAAAAUAAAAAAAGGCACAAAUCUCUUCUUAGGGGGAAGCUACAGUAUAUGGACUGCUGCAACACAACAAUUUCCCUUUGGGAUCAAUACAGUCUUAUCUAUCUAUAUGAUCUUAAAGAGGUAAAGAACAAGACUGAAGACUGCAGAUGAGAUGGUGCUACGGUACAUGCCGAUGAAAAAGCUUAGCUCCAUUUCUCAUUGUGCUGCACCUAAAUCUGGAGGGGAAAUAAACGUGGAAUAAGCUUACUUAACCUAAUUCAUGGAUUCCUGCUGUCUGUGACUUCUCACUGCAAAACUGGUUGAGAAGUACUUAUGUAAACCCUUGGUGACAAAACAGUCACCAAAUGUCAUGUUGCUCCCAAAAUGUGUCUCAAAUUUAGUUCAUCAUUCCUUGAAAUUCCUCAACCGUCUCUCUCCAGUCUUGGCUCUGGAAAGGGUGUUGGUUCAGACAAGUCAGCAUUGACAAAUCCAUCCCAAGAUCCUCUGGGAUGAGAAGUUCUACAUCAGUGCAGAUAAUUGUUACUCUCGUUCCAAGCCAUUACAGGAAAUUGAACCUUUCAAUUUAUUAUUUACUGAAUGUAUCCUUAUAUACUUAUUUAACUGUGGUGCUGAAGAUCGCUCCACUAAUUAAGUCUGAACUGGAGCAACGACUUGAAAUGCAGAAAUGGCGGGUGAACGUUGUGAUACCACUAUUCCCCACUAGAUGACAGUCAAACCCAAAUGACUUUACUCCACGAAAA